rnacentral:rRNA from 1 species
UACGUAGGGCGCAAGCGUUGUCCGGAAUUAUUGGGCGUAAAGAGCUCGUAGGCGGCUUGUCGCGUCGGAUGUGAAAGCCCGGGGUUUAACUCCGGGUCUGCAUUCGAUACGGGCAGGCUAGAGUUCGGUAGGGGAGAUCGGAAUUCCUGGUGUAGCGGUGAAAUGCGCAGAUAUCAGGAGGAACACCGGUGGCGAAGGCGGAUCUCUGGGCCGAUACUGACGCUGAGGAGCGAAAGCGUGGGGAGCGAACAGG